GACGAACGCUGGCGGCGUGCCUAAUACAUGCAAGUAGAACGCUGAAGGAGGAGCUUGCUUCUCUGAAUGAGUUGCGAACGGGUGAGUAACGCGUAGGUAACCUGCCUGGUAGCGGGGGAUAACUAUUGGAAACGAUAGCUAAUACCGCAUAAUAGUAGAUGUUGCAUGACAUUUGCUUAAAAGGUGCAAUUGCAUCACUACCAGAUGGACCUGCGUUGUAUUAGCUAGUUGGUGGGGUAACGGCUCACCAAGGCGACGAUACAUAGCCGACCUGAGAGGGUGAUCGGCCACACUGGGACUGAGACACGGCCCAGACUCCUACGGGAGGCAGCAGUAGGGAAUCUUCGGCAAUGGACGGAAGUCUGACCGAGCAACGCCGCGUGAGUGAAGAAGGUUUUCGGAUCGUAAAGCUCUGUUGUAAGAGAAGAACGAGUGUGAGAGUGGAAAGUUCACACUGUGACGGUAUCUUACCAGAAAGGGACGGCUAACUACGU
rnacentral:rRNA from 1 species